GAUGAACGCUGGCGGCGUGCCUAAUACAUGCAAGUCGAGCGAACAGACGAGGAGCUUGCUCCUCUGACGUUAGCGGCGGACGGGUGAGUAACACGUGGAUAACCUACCUAUAAGACUGGGAUAACUUCGGGAAACCGGAGCUAAUACCGGAUAAUAUAUUGAACCGCAUGGUUCAAUAGUGAAAGACGGUUUUGCUGUCACUUAUAGAUGGAUCCGCGCCGCAUUAGCUAGUUGGUAAGGUAACGGCUUACCAAGGCGACGAUGCGUAGCCGACCUGAGAGGGUGAUCGGCCACACUGGAACUGAGACACGGUCCAGACUCCUACGGGAGGCAGCAGUAGGGAAUCUUCCGCAAUGGGCGAAAGCCUGACGAAGCAACGCCGCGUGAGUGAUGAAGGUCUUCGGAUCGUAAAACCCUGUUAUUAGGGAAGAACAAAUGUGUAAGUAACUAUGCACGUCUUGACGGUACCUAAUCAGAAAGCCACGGCUAACUACGUG
rnacentral:rRNA from 1 species